rnacentral:lncRNA from 1 species
AGAUUUCAAGAAAGGGAAGAAUAGAGCACCUAUCUUCUUCCUCGAUUUCUGCGCCUUGAUGGCUGAGAUGAGGAGAUUUAGGCCGACGGCCACGAGCGCCGCGGCACCCGUGAACGCGAGUAUCCUCCUCUCUCUCUUCCCCUUGGCCAUCCGUAAGGAUCAACCCUUCGAGCCAGAAGAGAGAGUGAAGGAAUGGAGAUGGAAGGGUCGGAGAGCGAACAGAAGGCCCGGAAGGGCUUCAAAAGCCCCCCGGAUGCGAACUUUUAGAUUGGAUUCGACCGUUCGUUUGUAAGUGAACGGCUGGAUUUUUUUCUUUUGACUGAAAAGCCCUGCUCCGGUUGUAUUAUUACGGCCCGCCGGAUUUUACAAAGAAGGGAAGCGUUCGGUUACGGCACCAGAAACGGCACCAUCU